rnacentral:rRNA from 1 species
UGGGGAAUAUUGCACAAUGGGCGCAAGCCUGAUGCAGCCAUGCCGCGUGUGUGAAGAAGGCCUCGGGUUGUAAAGCACUUUCAGCGAGGAGGAAGGUGGGUGGACUUAAUACGUUCAUCAAUUGACGUUACUCGCAGAAGAAGCACCGGCUAACUCCGUGCCAGCAGCCGCGGUAAUACGGAGGGUGCAAGCGUUAAUCGGAAUUACUGGGCGUAAAGCGCACGCAGGCGGUUUGUUAAGUCAGAUGUGAAAUCCCCGGGCUCAACCUGGGAACUGCAUUUGAAACUGGCAAGCUAGAGUCUCGUAGAGGGGGGUAGAAUUCCAGGUGUAGCGGUGAAAUGCGUAGAGAUCUGGAGGAAUACCGGUGGCGAAGGCGGCCCCCUGGACGAAGACUGACGCUCAGGUGCGAAAGCGU